UCCUGGCUCAGAUUGAACGCUGGCGGUCAUGCCUUACACAUGCAAGUCGAGCGGCAGUCACGGGGGCAACCCUGGUGGCGUAGCGGCGAACGGGUGAGUAAUACAUCGGAACAUGCCCAGUCGUGGGGGAUAACACUUCGAAAGAAGUGCUAAUACCGCAUACGUCCUGAGGGAGAAAGCGGGGGAUCGCAAGACCUCGCGCGAUUGGAGUGGCCGAUGUCAGAUUAGCUAGUUGGUGGGGUAAAGGCCUACCAAGGCAACGAUCUGUAGCCUGGUCUGAGAGGAUGACCAGCCACACUGGGACUGAGACACGGCCCAGACUCCUACGGGAGGCAGCAGUGGGGAAUUUUGGACAAUGGGGGCAACCCUGAUCCAGCCCAUUCCGCGUGAGUGAAGAAGGCCUCGGGUUGUAAAGCUCUUUCAGCACGGAACGAAACGGCGAGUACUAAUACUGCUCGCUAAUGACGGUACCUGAAGAAGAAGCACCGGCUAACUACGUG
rnacentral:rRNA from 1 species